UGAGGAAGUGAGAAAUCUGAAAUCAGGCAGGCUGUUCUGGGGUCAGUUUAUUAAUUUGCAUGUCUUCUAUUGGUCGAGAUGCACUGCAUACGCCUUCCCCUAGAUGUCAGCAAAUAGUGAUAAUUGGAAUGGAGUUGCUAGGCAGAUCUGAGGCCAUAUAAAUGGUCUUGGAACGUGGGGUGCAGUCUUUUCAACAUUCGCCAUGACGCAAGACAGACCUCAGGAUGGCUUUCUGGAAAGCUGUCGUUAUAGGCCUUAGAUAUAUCCGGCUCUGAUUUUAUUCGAUAUAGGUGUUUAAGACAUCAUAAUGUUGUUAUUUUAAACCGAGUUAUAUCAGUUUAUAUCAGUAUAUUGCGAUUUUCGGAUAUUUCUUAGUGCUGCGUUAUAGUGAGUUGGACACGUCUUAGCCACAUGGCUAAUGUUUACUGCUAAUUCCAAAGUUGAAGGCGACAAUCUACAACCGAGCAACGAUUCCUCUGGACAAAGGACAACUUGCCCAAGAUUCUGAUGGGAGCUCAUCAAAAAUGAUUAUCACGAGCCGGUCCUCCCCAAUUAAGGUGCCACCAACCUCCUGUGAUGCCUAAGCUAGAGCUGAAAGAGAUGAGCCAGCAGAUCAACAUGAACUAGGACCUGAGCCCUAGGACCAUACGUCAGGACUACCGGGCAUGAUGACUCCUUGCUGUCCCCAGUCCGCCUGGCCUUGCUGCUAUUCCAGUUUCAACUGUUCUGCCUGCGGUUACGGAACCCCUACCUGUCCCAGACCUGCUGUUUUCAACUCUUAAUGAUCGGCUAUGAAAAGCCAACUGAAAAUUAUUCAUGAUUAUUAUUUGACCAUGCUUGUCACUUAUGAACAUUUUGAACAUCUUGGCAUAGUUCUGUUAUAAUCUCCACCCGGCACAGCCAGAAGAGGACUGGCCACCCCUCAUAGCCUGGUUCCUCUCUAGGUUUCUUCCUAGGUUUUGGCCUUUCUAGGGAGUUUUUCCUAGCCACCGUGCUUCUACACCUGCAUUGCUUGCUGUUUGGGGUUUUAGACUGGGUUUCUGUACAGCACUUCGAGAUAUUAGCUGAUGUACGAAGGGCUAUAUAAAAUAAACUUGAUUGAUUGAUUCUUGGUAAGCAACUCCAGUGUAGAUUUGGCUUUGGUAUGAUUCCAGGCUGUAUCACAACCGGCCGUGAUUGGGAGUCCCAUAGGGUGGCGCACAAUUCGCCCAGCAUCGUCUGAGUUAGGGUUUGGCCAGUGUAGGCCGUCAUUGUAAAUACAAAUUUGUUCUUAACUGACUUGCCUAGUUAAAUAAAGGUUAAAUAAUAAAUUCUUUAAAAAUAUAUAGUUAUGUGUGGUGGAUGGUACAGUAUGUGUGGAUGGUGUUCGUUGUUGUCCAUGUAGCCCUCUCCCUGCUGUCUGUCUCUUAUCUCUGACCACAUUUUGCACCCCCAUUAACCCAGUCCCCUGGUACAGUUUGCACCCCCAUUAACCCAGUCCCCUGGCGCAGUUUGCACCCCUGAAACAUUUAUCAGUUGCUUUAUUAAUUAACCACACACAAGCUUAUGGCAUAUACAAUGAGGACAGAAUGUGAAUGAACGCUCUUAUCUGAUACUUUGCUUCUCUGGUAGAAGCAAAUCUCUACAGGUUGAAAAGACACUGUCACUGAAAGUGACAUUAUUACUAAGUGCCUGCAUGUGCUCACAAAUAAUGAUUACUGCAAUAUAAUCUACUGAUUAGUUUAGAGGGUUUUAGUUUCUAUUGUACUAUAUCAUGAUUUAUAAUUGAAUAAACUUUUACUUUUUACUUCUA